rnacentral:lncRNA from 1 species
UAGCAACCUCCCUGACAAAUGACAGUAGCCUGAAAAAGUGAGGAAGUACAAUGUCAGAUGGUAUAGCCUGGAAAACGACAGUGCACAGAGAGAAAUAAGAUGUACGAGGUUCAUAGAAAAAAUGCGAUUAAAUAACCACACAUGGAGGUUGUAUGAAGAAGAAAUUCACAAAAGAUUCCAACUAUACAUAUAUAGGAGGUAGCAGACACUUUCUCACUACAUACUAUUGUGGACUUCUCAAAUGGAAAAUGACAGGCAUAUCUAUUAGACAGAAUUGAGGCACCAACAUGCAAAUUGUACAGUUGUUCUGGGCAACAAUUUCUUCCUAUGACAAUAACCCUGGAUGUGGGCUCUUGCUGUAAACGACAUCACAAGACCAUCAAGCACUUUCAAGUCCAGCUGAAGUAGAGUGAAAGAAAAUCAUUUCUGAGAGUUAUGAAAGGUCAUGAGUGAGGAAAUGCAUUCCAGGUACUCCCGGUACACAGAGACACAUAUUAAAUAAACCUUCUACAAGAGUAACCCGUCCAGAAAUGCAGCAAGAGGCUUCCAAAGGGCUAGAUUUAUUACAAAUUAAUCAAAUAGGUAAGAUGGAUCAUAAUGGAUAUUCCAGCCAAUGUAAACUGAGAGGAAAAGAAAAGCUCCGGCGGCAAGUCAAGAGCCAAAUGUUUCUGUUUUGAUUUAUUUAGCAUUUCCGAGAUGUUUCUUCUGUGGGGAACAAUAUGCAAGGCAUUGGAAAUUCAGAAGGCACAUCUUUUGUGUACCAUAAAAAUGUGCUGCUAACCUACAAUACCCUUAUAGAAAUACAAUUCAAUAAGAAACUCAGUUGGGAAGAUGUCUCAAUAGAACAACAUGAAAAAAAUGGUCAAUACAAGAAUGAUUCACUUUACUUUUACAAGGGAUUUCGAUGCUACGAAUAGAAAUGCCUUUGGA